GUCUAGCCUGCUCACUGAUAAUUAAUAUUAAAUAGCCGCGGUAUCUUGACCGUGCAAAGGUAGCAUAAUCAUUAGUUUUUUAAUUGGAAACUCGUAUGAAUGGUUGGACAAAGAAGAAACUGUCUCUUUUAUUAAAGUUGAAUUUAACUUCUAAGUGAAAAGGCUUAGAUUUUCUAGAGGGACGAUAAGACCCUAUAAAGCUUUAUAAGUUUAAAGAUUUUAUAUAUUUUUGGAUAACAAUAAUUUUUGGAAUGUUUAUUUGGUUGGGGCGACAAUAGUAUAAUAAAAGUAACUGCUUUUAGUUAAAACAGAGAUAUCUGAGUCAUAGUUAAUUGAUCCUUUUUAAAGAUUUUAAGAUCAAGUUACUUUAGGGAUAACAGCGUUAUUUUUCCUGAGAGCUCUUAUCAAAGGAAAAGUUUGCGACCUCGAUGUUGAAUUAAAAUGUCUAUAUAGUGCAGCAGCUAUAAAAGAAGGUCUGUUCGACCUUUAAUAUUUUACAUGAUUUGAGUUCAGACCGGCGAGAGCCAGGUCGGUUUCUAUCUUCUAGAAAAUGGAGAGAUCACUUUAGUACGAAAGGAUUGAGUGAUUAAAAUUUUUUUGAUAAUUGAAAU
rnacentral:rRNA from 1 species